UGAUAAAGAUCAGAACUUUGAUGACACCGUUGAGGUAUAUCCAAACUUCAAUAUAUUUGAUAAGAAAAAAGUAUACCAAUAGAACAUACUCAGAUCAACGAAGAGACCCUUAGUUAGGGUUGCAUCCUAAAAAGUUGUUGCAGUGAUGAGAUAGGUGCUGGAAUGGUUUCCGACAACACUGUUGAUAUAGAUGGUGUGGAGUAUCGAACUUGUGAUGCCAAGAUCUUUAUGGCACACCAUGGUGAUUUAACUUCUGUUUUCUAUGAUGAAGAGGUGGAGCCACCAGAUUGUGCUCUGUCCAGCGUUCAUUGUUUUGGAUUCAUUGGAAUGAUUAACAGGCAAACAUAUCAAUGUUAGCUACAUGAAAAAUCAAAAGAGUGCAGACACUCAUAUGUUCUGUUCAACGCUGGAAUUCCUAAAUCCAAUGGUAGUGUCAUUUCAUCGGUGAAAGUCUCGAAUAGAGUCAUGUAUCUUGUAGAUCCCAUUAAAUGGUGCCUUGCCACUGUUGAUAUGAAAGAAGUGGCACAAAAUGGGAGUAAAGUGCACAAUCUUUUACUUGAUCACACACAAAUCGUGUUGGAGUUAGAUUAGAGUCACCACCACCGGCGUUCACAUUGGUUGUUGUUCACCUGCGCAGCAAACUUGUGAACACAUGCUCAAGUGAUUUCAUGGUUCUCUCUAUUCUCGGUACAUCUUCCACCAUGAAUGUCACACCAAAAGUGGUGAUUUACUACUUAUACUUUCUUUAUCACAAUCGUUCGUAUGGAUGUCUGGAAGCGUUUAUAUCUUACCAAAGACACCACUAGAACAUGUCCAUGUUAGAAAUACACUAGAGGAGAUGAUUGGAAGCAUCGAGGAGUCAGUUGGAGGUUGGAAAGAGUUGCGCCAUAAAUCCAUUGUGCUAAAUAAAAAAAAACAAUCAUUUAUCCGACGAUCAGUAAAAAAAAUGAUCGAAAUCAUCCCACCACUGUGAGAACAAUGUUGCAUAUCAGUCACAUCGAUCAGAUUUAUUGUAGAAAAUAGGCUGUUUUACAAACACUUGGAUGUGAAACAAAAAGUGAUUCACCUGCAGAUUAGUGGUGAGCCAUCAGAUCAGUUUUCUCAAAGGAAUCUGCUCAAGAAAAAGGAUACAUGGAAAUCUGAAUGCAUUCCUAAUUUCGCAGAAUUUUACGGUGGUAUAGUAAGAGAGAAUCUUCUGUUCUGGGUUAUCUUGGCUAAUGCUUCAAACAAUUGCUAUGAUCAAUCCAUUUUUGUCGUUCAUGAUUUUUUAACAAAUCAAAAUGGAUGUUGAUGUGGUGAAAACUAUGAGAGAUGUACCCUUUUGUUUUAUUUUUAAAGAACAUUUCGACACUAUGGACAACAUCAGUCAAAAGAACGAGGCUGUCUUUGUGAAUUUUACAAAGCAUAUUUCAACACGGGCAACUCGAAAAAGGCUUUCUUUUUAGUUGUUUUCAAUGUAGAAGGGUUGACUAGAAAUGUGCCGAGUCAUAUCGUGGUGAAAGCUAUCUUGAUGCAGUGCAUCCUCAUCGGUUUAGCCUCUCUUUUGUAACCUAAACCGAGUUCGUUUUGGUCCUUAUCUCAUCAGGAGUUUUUGGCUUAUCUUUUAGUAUUAUUUAGUAGCUUUAUUUACAGAGAUAUUAUUUAGAAUAACUCUAAUCAUUCUACUAGUUACUGAAAUAACUCAUAUAACUUUGUAAUUAUUAGACUGAAAUCAGAAACAGCCAAAUUUACCAAAAAACCCAACCUUUUAAAUAUUAACUGAAAGUUUUCCAUUACAAUUUAAUAAUAAAUAUAUUUUAAUAUAAAGGAAAAAAAAAAGAAGAAACCUAAACCUUUGUCGGGUCUGUCUUUUCUUUCGUAUUUCACGAAACCAAACUUCCAUCUUUGGCAAUGCCUUCUACAACACCUCCUUCUCCGACACCUCCUCCUACGUUCUUCAAUUACGUCUCCUCCACUGUUAAUCAGCGUCGUCUCCGUCUUCCUCCGCUGUAACUUAACUUCGCCUCAGUUGUCGUUGAGGAACCCAAACUCAAUUUCACUUCUGUCACUUCCGCCAUCAAUUCUAAGUUACUUGAAUCUAAAUGAGUAAACAGGUGAUUGAUGGGCAUCAAUUCAAAUCUUAUGCAAGUGUGCAGAGCCGAAAUAAAACAAAAAGCAGACAAGGUUAACCAUAUGCAAAAUGAGAAGGUGACUAGCCUUCCAAAUUAUAGGAAGUUCGAUGACGUUCCCAAGUUUUUUGAGGCACUAUGUAAUAAAGAAAUGUUGUCUGGAUAGAAAAGGUUAUUAAUACUGUAAACUCGGGAUUUCCAUUCUUGCUUCUUUUUUAUAACCACGAUUCAAAUUUGUAUUAAAAACUAUUUUUAAGUUGCAUUGAUCUUCAUUGUAGGAAUUGAUGAUUUAUGGUUACCAAGUUUCUUUUUUCAAAGUUGGUACUUUUCAUACUUUUCAUGACCAAAGGUUUUCAAAAUUUUAUUUGGUGACUUGACUUCUUAAGUUUUAGAUACAUGACAUCAAUAAUUUUAUCAUAACGUGUCUUUGAACCCUUUUUGGGUCAAAAAUUUCUCUGAACCUUAUACUUUUUAUUAUCAAAUUCUAAUAAAUAACGUUUUGGACCUAAUUGGUUUAUAUGGACAAUGUUUUUUGAUUCGAUGGAUAAAUUUUUUCAUUCCAGUACUAGUUUUAACUUCCUAUUUUCCUAUUUUUUAGAUUCAAAGAUGAAUGUGGUGUUACCAUGUUAGUAAAUUUUUAACCGUAAACAUGUAUCCCCUAUAUACUAAAGCACAAGUCACUGUGCCACUAAAAUUUUGACACAUAGAUAAUGUUGUACAAAAAAAAUAUCUAAAUACUUAAUUUGUCAAUUUAUUUUACUCCCACAUUCAAAACUAACCGUCAGAAUUUCAAAUGUUUUUUUCCUGUAAUUUUUGAUCAACGAAUUUACUAAUUUGACAAAUCAAAGUGGAGCAUAUGGCUUUUACAUAAAAUAUCAAUUAAUGUUAAGAUAAUGCUUAAAAAGCAACCAAUCAGAUAAUUAACAAAACAAUUGUUAGCAAGAAAUUGGCCCUAAACUCAUUCGAUGUUUUAGUUAAAUCCCUAUUUUUUCUCUGAUUACCUCUAUCACGUGCAUGUUAUCUAUAACUUCCAAAUCGUGGCAUUAUUUUAAACUGUUUCGUCUUUAUAUACUGAAUCAAUUCAUUUUUUUCUUUAUUUGCUUUUCUUCUUCUUGUUCUCUAUCGUUUUUAUCUUCUUCAUCAACUUUUUUUCUACAGUUUGUCUGUGUACUAACAAAAAAUAUACAUAUUUGUGACUUUUGUAUUCAUAUUCACUUUUUGUUUUCCUCAAAUUAGUAUCCUUAAAAAAAAAAUUAGUGUGAUUCAAACUGAAGAUGUCACUUGAGCAUACUGAUGUUUCAAAACUUCAUUCUUCAAAACAUGGAAAAUCAUAGCACGUUUGCAAUUGAGAAAUGAGUAAACAGGUGAUUGAUGGGCAUCAAUUCAAAUCUUAUGCAAAUGUGAAGAGCCGAAAUAAAACAAAAAGCAGACAAGGUUAACCAUAUGCAAAAUGAGAAGGUGACUAGCCUUCCAAAUUAUAGGAAGUUCGAUGACGUUCCCAAGUUUUUUGAGGCACUAUGUAAUAAAGAAAUGUUGUCUGGAUAGAAAAGGUUAUUAAUACUGUAAACUCGGGAUUUCCAUUCUUGCUUCUUUUUUAUAACCACGAUUCAAAUUUGUAUUAAAAACUAUUUUUAAGUUGCAUUGAUCUUCA